rnacentral:lncRNA from 1 species
CAAGAUUCUGGCUCCAAUGGCUCCCUAAAGAAGAACCCAUUCUGUAAAGUUCUGAGAGUUUUGAUUACUGAAGAUUCCACUCACUGAACUCCUUGUGUAUCAGAAAGUGAGAGAUUUUCUGUCUUCCUGGAAAACCCUUUAUUUAUCAAGGACUCCGCCAUCCUCUUAAGCUCCAAAGCUGCCUCUUCCUUCCCAGUCUCGGCACAGACACUGCUGACACGCCUCUGACCACGAGCAUGUGGCCAGGUCUCCAGAUCCAUGCCUAGCCCAAGGAUCUCAGGACAUAAUUUUCUCUACUUGGAGUUUGGUGAGAACUACGAAUUUCUUAACGUCAUAUUGACUGCUUAAAAUGAAAAAUCCUAAACCUGUGGAGGUCAAGGGUGAAAAGAAUUUUAAUUAUCUUAAAAUAAUGGAGAAAAGGAACAGUAGAGAUUUCAUGACUUUAGCUCCU